UCCCUCCCCGCCGUCCGCUCCCCGCAGCACCCCUGCGCCUCCUGCUUCCGAUGUCCGCCAGCGCGAGAGGCCCCUCCGACCCAGCCCCACCGUCCGCUCCCUGUACGGCAAAGAGAGACUAGAGGCGGCCCAACUGCGUGCGCCUUGACCGAGGAAAUGAGCUGUGUGCGCGUGCCUGCUCCAGAGAGGGCUGGCUAACCUCCCUGGAACAGUUUACUGGGAAAAAGCAGGUAUAUGUACGUACCAGCAGAAGAGCCCCGGCUCCUAGCCAGAUCCGGGAUUCUUCCCUGGUAAAGCCACGCACUCUGUGUUUGGCACAGGGCCACCUUUGUUCAGGGCAUGUAUUAAAAGGCGUAUAUGAAGAAGGGAAAAGUGCCUUGCCUGGUCUAGCAAGCGCCUGGCUCUGCAGCUGAUGUCUACCUUCUGAAUGAUACAUCGUUUUGUGCUGUGUGUUGCCAGCGAUGUGAACGGUGGAUUGGUGGAAACACAUUUUUGAGUUGGUGUUUCCGUGGCAACUGGGGCUUGAUAGCUGGAGAUCAUCUCACCAAUCAUGAGCAAUGGUAUCCUGGCAUGUAUCCACAUGCACUGUACAGGCAAAGGCUUGAAUAGUUU